GACGAACGCUGGCGGCGUGCCUAAUACAUGCAAGUCGAGCGGACUGAUGGGAACUUGUUCCCUGAAGUCAGCGGCGGACGGGUGAGUAACACGUGGGCAACCUGCCUGUAAGACUGGGAUAACUUCGGGAAACCGGAGCUAAUACCGGAUACAUUCUUUUCUCGCAUGGGGGAAGAUGGAAAGACGGUUUCGGCUGUCACUUACAGAUGGGCCCGCGGCGCAUUAGCUAGUUGGUGGGGUAAUGGCCCACCAAGGCGACGAUGCGUAGCCGACCUGAGAGGGUGAUCGGCCACACUGGGACUGAGACACGGCCCAGACUCCUACGGGAGGCAGCAGUAGGGAAUCUUCCGCAAUGGACGAAAGUCUGACGGAGCAACGCCGCGUGAACGAUGAAGGCUUUCGGGUCGUAAAGUUCUGUUGUUAGGGAAGAACAAGUACCAGAGUAACUGCUGGUACCUUGACGGUACCUAACCAGAAAGCCACGGCUAACUACGUGCCAGCCGCCGCCGUAAUAC
rnacentral:rRNA from 1 species